CUAGGCUCUUGGUGAAGGAUUUGCCAGAUUUUCCCUCAUUGGUAAAGGAAGACAAGGCAAGAAAAUUGGAGAGGGGCCUCAAGGACUUUCUCAUCCAUUGAUGGCAUGAAGUACUUGGCUCUGUUAUUGCUUCUGUUGUAUUAUGUUCUUGUUUUAGAAGGAUGGAGAUUGGAGAUGGCAAAGACAGUCAUCAGAAGGCAAUGAGCAGAGUCUAUGCUAACUUUAUCAGCUAGCCAGUCCAACAUCACUGCCCCCAAGAAAGGGACCUUUGGAGAGGCAGACAAACAAUGGUGGAGAUGUAGACUCAGCCAGUUGCUAACAUGCCACCUCAGUGCCUUUGCAGAAGCUGUGUCCUUGCCUGGAAUGUUCUCCUUCUUCAUCUCUGCCUCUUGGAACCCCGAGAGCCCUUCAAGGCUUAGCUCAAGUUCCACCUCCAUAGCCCUCCAAUUGUUUGUACCCUUCUGCAUU
rnacentral:lncRNA from 1 species